GGUGAGGUCCGCCUGUAGGCAGGGGCAGCGGUUUGCUAAACCGUCGGCCGGUUCGGCCGGUCCGCGAGUUCGAAUCUCGCUCUCACCG
rnacentral:tRNA from 1 species